rnacentral:tRNA from 3 species
GGGCCUAUAGCAUAACGGUCAAUGCAGAGGACUCAUAAUCCUUGGAGUGUAGGUUCGAAUCCUACUGGGCCCACCA